rnacentral:rRNA from 1 species
ACGAACGCUGGCGGCGUGCUUAACACAUGCAAGUCGAACGGAAAGGCCCUGCUUUUGUGGGGUGCUCGAGUGGCGAACGGGUGAGUAACACGUGAGUAACCUGCCCUUGACUUUGGGAUAACUUCAGGAAACUGGGGCUAAUACCGGAUAGGAGCUCCUGCUGCAUGGUGGGGGUUGGAAAGUUUCGGCGGUUGGGGAUGGACUCGCGGCUUAUCAGCUUGUUGGUGGGGUAGUGGCUUACCAAGGCUUUGACGGGUAGCCGGCCUGAGAGGGUGACCGGCCACAUUGGGACUGAGAUACGGCCCAGAAUCCUACGGGAGGCAGCAGUGGGGAAUAUUGCACAAUGGGCGGAAGCCUGAUGCAGAAACGCCGCGUGCGGGAUGACGGCCUUCGGGUUGUAAACCGCUUUCGCCUGUGACGAAGCGUGAGUGACGGUAAUGGGUAAAGAAGCACCGGCUAACUACGUG